AGAGUUUGAUCAUGGCUCAGAUUGAACGCUGGCGGCAGGCCUAACACAUGCAAGUCGAGCGGUAGCACAGAGAGCUUGCUCUCGGGUGACGAGCGGCGGACGGGUGAGUAAUGUCUGGGAAACUGCCUGAUGGAGGGGGAUAACUACUGGAAACGGUAGCUAAUACCGCAUAACGUCGCAAGACCAAAGUGGGGGACCUUCGGGCCUCAUGCCAUCAGAUGUGCCCAGAUGGGAUUAGCUGGUAGGUGGGGUAACGGCUCACCUAGGCGACGAUCCCUAGCUGGUCUGAGAGGAUGACCAGCCACACUGGAACUGAGACACGGUCCAGACUCCUACGGGAGGCAGCAGUGGGGAAUAUUGCACAAUGGGCGCAAGCCUGAUGCAGCCAUGCCGCGUGUGUGAAGAAGGCCUUCGGGUUGUAAAGCACUUUCAGCGGGGAGGAAGGCGUUAAGGUUAAUAACCUUGGCGAUUGACGUUACCCGCAGAAGAAGCACCGGCUAACUCCGUGCCAGCAGCCGCGGUAAUACGGAGGGUGCAAGCGUUAAUCGGAAUUACUGGGCGUAAAGCGCACGCAGGCGGUCUGUCAAGUCGGAUGUGAAAUCCCCGGGCUCAACCUGGGAACUGCAUUCGAAACUGGCAGGCUAGAGUCUUGUAGAGGGGGGUAGAAUUCCAGGUGUAGCGGUGAAAUGCGUAGAGAUCUGGAGGAAUACCGGUGGCGAAGGCGGCCCCCUGGACAAAGACUGACGCUCAGGUGCGAAAGCGUGGGGAGCAAACAGGAUUAGAUACCCUGGUAGUCCACGCUGUAAACGAUGUCGAUUUGGAGGUUGUGCCCUUGAGGCGUGGCUUCCGGAGCUAACGCGUUAAAUCGACCGCCUGGGGAGUACGGCCGCAAGGUUAAAACUCAAAUGAAUUGACGGGGGCCCGCACAAGCGGUGGAGCAUGUGGUUUAAUUCGAUGCAACGCGAAGAACCUUACCUGGUCUUGACAUCCACAGAACUUUCCAGAGAUGGAUUGGUGCCUUCGGGAACUGUGAGACAGGUGCUGCAUGGCUGUCGUCAGCUCGUGUUGUGAAAUGUUGGGUUAAGUCCCGCAACGAGCGCAACCCUUAUCCUUUGUUGCCAGCGGUUCGGCCGGGAACUCAAAGGAGACUGCCAGUGAUAAACUGGAGGAAGGUGGGGAUGACGUCAAGUCAUCAUGGCCCUUACGACCAGGGCUACACACGUGCUACAAUGGCAUAUACAAAGAGAAGCGACCUCGCGAGAGCAAGCGGACCUCAUAAAGUAUGUCGUAGUCCGGAUUGGAGUCUGCAACUCGACUCCAUGAAGUCGGAAUCGCUAGUAAUCGUAGAUCAGAAUGCUACGGUGAAUACGUUCCCGGGCCUUGUACACACCGCCCGUCACACCAUGGGAGUGGGUUGCAAAAGAAGUAGGUAGCUUAACCUUCGGGAGGGCGCUUACCACUUUGUGAUUCAUGACUGGGGUGAAGUCGUAACAAGGUAACCGUAGGGGAACCUGCGGUUGGAUCACCU
rnacentral:rRNA from 1 species